UGUGCAGGUGAACAUUCCCAAUUCCCUCAGCCUUUCCUCUUGGGAGAAGUGCUCCAUUCCUCUGUGCUAAAACCUUCCCAGAACUCCAAAUAAUGAAGUGUUUAGACCUCAUGCCUUCAGUUCCCAUCUAACACAGCCGUGGGCAUGCUCUGACCCACGGGUGUGUGCAGGAUGAUUUGGAAUCCAAUUCUUUCUGUCUUUGCAGGAGCUGCUCGUGGCCAGCUCCAGAGCUGUUGGGGCUCAGCAGCGAUGCCAGUGAGCCAUUGGAAACUGCUCUCAGACUGCAGAUUCUGACCAGACUCGUGUCAGGGCUUCAGGACUUUCAUUCUUCACUUAUGGAUGUCACGUGGGACAAUGUCAGAGCCUCAGUUUCCCUGCAGGAGGGAUGGAAGUUGGGAGAUGUCACAACAAUCCUGGAGAAGGUCCCCAGGAGUGAAGUGCAGAACUGCAGAUGGGCACGGUGGAGGCUGUGCUGAGCAAGGGAGGAGAAAUAAUAAGGAAAAAACAGAAUAAAUGGAGAAACCCCAACAAAUCUGGGAAUUUU
rnacentral:lncRNA from 1 species